rnacentral:lncRNA from 1 species
CGGUGCCAUAACUGUCCCAGGAACGGUGCCUUGGGGGCCGAAGGGCCGAGAAAGCCAGGGAGCUGCCACGGACUCGGCCGGCGGAGGUGUGCCCACCGUGUACCCCACCGUCCAGCACAAGCCAGGGUCGCUUUAAAGGGCCAUGCGCAUGCCCGGCUCUGGCUGUGGCUUUGUAAGGUGACGUCCUUCGCAGGCCUGCUGUACACAGUGUGACAGAAGAACUUGAGGAUACAUUUCUGAAGAUAGUAUCAAUCAAUCUACACAGAGAUGAGGAUGACUUGCCAUGAAGAUAGUCAAGAAACCUGAGAUUAAAGCUGCAUGCACAUUAAGAAUCUGAAGAAAAUUGUGUCAUGAAGUCAUAUUUUAGUGUAAAACCUGUUCUGAGUUGAUAAAACUGGACAGUGAAUGGGAAGAGUGACAGACAAGGAAAUGCUGCAAAUUGUACUUGUGAAUGUGUUGAGCUCAGGAGAAGGAAGCAGCAUCUGUUCCAGAAAUAUCCACCAGUUGAGACUCAAGAAGUCAAAUAUACCUAAUCCUGCAGAUCACAUUCUUCCAACAGGAGGUGUUGAAAAGAAAAGGACAGUCUACCAUCUGCUUAGCCAUCUGUUUCAGAAGACCUAUUCCUUAUUUUGUGCCAUUGGGGCUUUUUACAAAAUGAUCAGCAUCAUCAAAGACCCCAAAUAAAAGCAUAUGAUAACAUCAUCUAAUAGCUGUCUCAGAUGGUGUCAGCUUCUGGGUUUUCACAAGAUAUUUUCCUAUUGAAUUAUGUCCUUUAAAAUAUGUGCAAUGUGGAAAAAACAUGAUCUGUGAAUCAGUGGCUUUCAUGCUGAACUCUACUUUUAAAUUAUGUGAGACAAUUGCCUAGAUCUCUUACCUUAAAAUUCCUCCCAUGUAAAAUGUAAAUAUAUUUAUUUCCCAGAAUAAAAGCUCUGUGUACACAGGAUCCUCCAUCUCUUUUUGUUCCCUGAUGCAGUUAUCAGAA